UGGGGAAUUUUGGACAAUGGGGGCAACCCUGAUCCAGCCAUCCCGCGUGUGCGAUGAAGGCCUUCGGGUUGUAAAGCACUUUUGGCAGGGAAGAAACAGCCUGGGAUAAUACCCCGGGCGACUGACGGUACCUGCAGAAUAAGCACCGGCUAACUACGUGCCAGCAGCCGCGGUAAUACGUAGGGUGCAAGCGUUAAUCGGAAUUACUGGGCGUAAAGCGUGCGCAGGCGGUUCGGAAAGAAGGGGUGUGAAAUCCCAGGGCUUAACCUUGGAACUGCACUUUUAACUACCGAGCUAGAGUACGUCAGAGGGGGGUAGAAUUUCACGUGUAGCAGUGAAAUGCGUAGAGAUGUGGAGGAAUACCGAUGGCGAAGGCAGCCCCUGGGAUGAUACUGACGCUCAUGCACGAAAGCGUGGGGAGCAAACAGGAUUAGAUACCCUGGUAGUCCACGCCCUAAACGAUGUCAACUAGCUGUUGGGGCUUUUAUUAACCUUAGUAGCGCAGCUAACGCGUGAAGUUGACCGCCUGGGGAGUACGGUCGCAAGAUUAAAACUUAAAGUGAAUUGACGGGGGUCAUAGCUGUUUUU
rnacentral:rRNA from 1 species